UACGGAGGAUGCAAGCGUUAUCCGGAUUUAUUGGGCGUAAAGCGUCCGCAGGUGGCUCUUCAAGUCUGCUGUCAAAGCGCGGAGCUUAACUCCGUAAAGGCGGUGGAAACUGGGGAGCUAGAGUCUGGUAGGGGUCACGGGAAUUCCCAGUGUAGCGGUGAAAUGCGUAGAUAUUGGGAAGAACACCGGUGGCGAAAGCGCUCUACUGGGCCUGCACUGACACUGAGGGACGAAAGCUAGGGGAGCGAAUGGG
rnacentral:rRNA from 1 species